rnacentral:lncRNA from 1 species
UCUUUUCUUUUCUUUUUGAGAUGGAUUCUCCCUCUGUCACCCAGGCUGGAGUGCAGUGGUGCAGUCUUGGCUCACUGCAACUUCCACCUCCCAGGUUCAAGUGAUUGUCCUGCCUCAGCCUCCCGAGUUGCUAAGACUACAGGCAGAUGCCACAGCGCCUGGCUAAUUUUUUGUAUUUUUAGUAGAGACGAGGUUUCACCACAUUAGCCAGGAUGGUCUCCAUCUCCUGACCUCGUGAUCCACCAGCGGCAGCCUCCCAAAGUGCUGGGAUUACAGAUGCCAGAUUGGUUGCAAAAUGCAAUUGCAAAAAGCAAACCAAUCAGAGAUACUUUUAAUUUCCCAUCUGCUGCACAGAAAAGGUGGCCGUGCAGAACCGGUGCUGUGCAGAAAAGUUGGCCACGCAGAAGAGCAAAAGCAAAAAGCCACCACUCAGAGGUUUACUGUCUCAGUCAGGGACUUAAAGACACCACCAAAAGCAUGCCGCAAUCUAGGGUUAACAACAACACAGAGCCAUCAUCACUGCUAGAUCUGAAGGGGGAAGGGGAAGAGGUGGUUCCUGGAAGAAGAGUAUAACGAGAGGGCCAAUAGCCUGAUGAGAAGGAGUCAUUUGAGGAACUUCACAGCCAAGCCACAAGAAUCUAACGAUUCUGUUGUUGAUCUAAAACUGCCACUCUCUGGCCUAGCCCGUAUACUUCAGGACCUUUCUACUUUGGCCAAAUGGCCUAAGCCAAAGUCAAGGUACACCGGGAAUGUUGCCCAAGGCUGGCCUGUGGAUGGAGCUAAUAAAAUAUUGGGCCCCUGGAGAAAGGCACAGGUUUUCCAAGGGGGCAAUUAGAACGAGAAAAGUGGAAAUCUAUGAUACUGAGAGAAAAAUAACUUUGCACAACUUAUUCAGUGGAUCUUGGUCUCCUUAUCUAUAAAAGAAGAGCCACCAGAUGUUCUAUAGCAAGGACAGUAUAGCGUAGAGGUUCAGUGUAGGGGUACAAAAGCCAGUCUGGCUGUAUUUUAAUCCUGAUUCUGCCACUUACCGGUUUUAUAACAUUGUGCAAAUUACUUAGCUUCUAUGAACCUAAGUUAUCACAAAGUAUUCAUCUGGCAUAUAGCAAGCACUUAAUGAAAAUUUUAUUAAUAUCCCACACCUAAAGGUUGGUUACAGUCAUGCUAAUCACUAGCAACAUAACUUAGAUCACAAAUGCUGAUGUAAUAAUUAUUUGGUAAAUGAUGAAUAGCAUUUGGACUGUGAAUUAUUACCUGCUACUUUUUUAAGUUAUAGAGUAUUUCUUACGAAUAAAGUCUUCAAAUAUUCAGGUGUUUAGCAAUAAAAAUUUUUGAUAAAAUGUUGUUCUUUAAUAUAAAAAAGUACUUCCAACUUUUAGGGUUUAACAGUUGGAGAGACAGAGAAUAGGAGAAAGAUGGAGGGGGAGAGACUGUCAGGACCCAGGUGAGGGGGUAAAGGAUGGGAUAGAGUGCUAUUUUGUACACUUUCAUGGUAAUUCUAUUAGAUUUCUUUUAGCAGUGAAAUAUUUCACUGUUACAAUGGCAUAAAAUGUUCCCCAAAAUUUACUAUGUGUCUCUCAUAUAUUUAUAGUAAAAACGUCUAUGUACUAUAGUACAUGCUUUUCUAACCGGGGAUCUAAAGAUCUAUAUGAAUAAAGCCAAGAAAACCUAUUUAUAACCUCCAUUUUGGCAGUUUGUUUCUCCCCAUUCCUCAGAAAUAUGGCUCCAUGCAGAUAUAUGAAUAUGUUCAUAAAUUUCCUGUGGUUCAUUAUACAAGAUUUGAAUUUCAUUUUAGUACUAAUAGGUUACA